rnacentral:rRNA from 1 species
CUACGGGCUGCUGCAGUGGGGAAUCUUAGGCAAUGGGCGCAAGCCUGAUCUAGCCAUGCCGCGUGAGUGAUGAAGGCCUUAGGGUCGUAAAGCUCUUUCGCUGGGGAAGAUAAUGACGGUACCUGGAGAAUAAGCCCCGGCUAACUUCGUGCCAGCAGCCGCGGUAAUACGAAGGGGGCUAGCGUUGUUCGGAAUUACUGGGCGUAAAGCGCACGUAGGCGGAUUUGUUAGUCAGGGGUGAAAUCCCGGGGCUCAACCUCGGAACUGCCUUUGAUACUGCAAGUCUAGAGUCCGGAAGAGGUGAGUGGAAUUCCUAGUGUAGAGGUGAAAUUCGUAGAUAUUAGGAAGAACACCAGUGGCGAAGGCGGCUCACUGGUCCGGUACUGACGCUGAGGUGCGAAAGCGUGGGGAGCAAACAGGAUUAGAUACCCCAGUAGUC